rnacentral:rRNA from 1 species
UACGUAGGGUGCAAGCGUUAUCCGGAAUUAUUGGGCGUAAAGAGCUCGUAGGCGGUCUGUCGCGUCGGCUGUGAAAACUCGGGGCUCAACUCCGAGCUUGCAGUCGAUACGGGCAGGCUAGAGUUCGGCAGGGGAGACUGGAAUUCCUGGUGUAGCGGUGAAAUGCGCAGAUAUCAGGAGGAACACCAGCGGCGAAGGCGGCGCUCUGGGCCGGUACUGACGCUGAGGAGCGAAAGCGUGGGUAGCAAACAGG